rnacentral:rRNA from 1 species
GACCUCAGUUCAGGUGAG